GUACCAACGGCCGACGCAAGAAGCCGACUUGCUACGUCUGUGUUACACCCUCAUGCAAGCGCCGCACGUCAGGUGGAUCAUCGUCGAGGACAGCGACGACAAAACAGAGCUGGUACAGAGGAUAACAAAGGAGUGUAAGGUGCCUGACAUCACACAUCUGGUGGCAAGAACGCGGCUCUUAGCAAAUGAGUCUCAUCGAGGUGUGACUCAGCGCAACACGGGGCUGGCGUGGGUCCGCCACAAUGUCCUGCCUCGUCACG